CAAGUUUGGAGUACCUAACGCCAUGGUUAUUGAUCAGAGCACCCACUAUUGCAACAAAUCCAUUUAGGCUUUACAUUAGAAGUAUGGGGUUGUGCAUAAGAUUUCUACACCCUACCACCCCAAACUAACAAGCAAGUUGAAAUUUCAAACAUAGAGAUAAAUAGGAAUUUAGAGAAGAUUGUGCACUCUUCUUUCUAUUAUCAUGUUCUUCUUUUCCA
rnacentral:lncRNA from 1 species